rnacentral:rRNA from 1 species
UUUAUGGAGAGUUUGAUCCUGGCUCAGGAUGAACGCUGGCGGCGUGCCUAAUACAUGCAAGUCGAGCGAACGGACGAGAAUCUUGCUUCUCUGAUGUUAGCGGCGGACGGGUGAGUAACACGUGGAUAACCUACCUAUAAGACUGGGAUAACUUCGGGAAACCG